CUCACAAAGAGGGGCGGAUCGACUGUCGAAAGCUGAUCGAAGAAGAGCAUCCGGACAUAGAUCUUGCAGUUUUGGAUUAUAAGGAGGAAGAGGAUGAAGAAACUUUGACUCUCGAGGUCUCUACUCCCGAGAAGGACAAUACCAUCGAGCUGGUUCUUUCUAUCACCCUUUUCUCUUCUAAUGCUGACGUCAGUCCUUCUGAGCCUCUCUCAGAUGUCGUUGAUCCCCAAG
rnacentral:lncRNA from 1 species